AUUGAACGCUGGCGGCAUGCCUUACACAUGCAAGUCGAACGGCAGCACGGACUUCGGUCUGGUGGCGAGUGGCGAACGGGUGAGUAAUGUAUCGGAACGUACCUUUCAGUGGGGGGAUAACGUAGCGAAAGUUACGCUAAUACCGCAUAUUCUGUGAGCAGGAAAGCAGGGGAUCGCAAGACCUUGCGCUGAUUGAGCGGCCGAUAUCAGAUUAGCUAGUUGGUGGGGUAAAGGCCUACCAAGGCUACGAUCUGUAGCGGGUCUGAGAGGAUGAUCCGCCACACUGGAACUGAGACACGGUCCAGACUCCUACGGGAGGCAGCAGUGGGGAUUUGGACAAUGGGGGCAACCCUGAUCCAGCCAUGCCGCGUGAGUGAAGAAGGCCUCGGUUGUAAAGUCUCUUUCGGCCGGG
rnacentral:rRNA from 1 species